ACUAUUUUGGCAGAUAAGUGUAAUAAAUUUAGGAUUUAUUAAUGUAGAUUUUUUUCUAUAGGUAGUA
rnacentral:tRNA from 1 species